UACAGAGGUCUCAAGCGUUGUUCGGAUUCAUUGGGCGUAAAGGGUGCGUAGGUGGCGGGGUAAGUCAGGUGUGAAAUUUCGGAGCUUAACUCCGAAACUGCAUUUGAUACUGCCUUGCUUGAGGACUGGAGAGGAGACUGGAAUUCACGGUGUAGCAGUGAAAUGCGUAGAGAUCGUGAGGAAGACCAGUGGCGAAGGCGGGUCGUCUGGACAGUUCCUGACACUGAGGC
rnacentral:rRNA from 1 species